rnacentral:tRNA from 1 species
GCCUGGCUGGCUCAGUUAGUAGAGCAUGAGACUCCCAAUCUCAGGGUCAUGAGUUCAAGCCCCACGUUGGACA